UACGUAGGGGGCUAGCGUUGUCCGGAAUCAUUGGGCGUAAAGAGCGUGUAGGCGGCUCGAUAAGUCCGCUGUGAAAGUCCAGGGCUCAACCCUGGGAUGCCGGUGGAUACUGUCGGGCUCGAGUCCGGAAGAGGCGAGUGGAAUUCCUGGUGUAGCGGUGAAAUGCGCAGAUAUCAGGAGGAACACCAAUGGCGAAGGCAGCUCGCUGGGACGUGACUGACGCUGAGACGCGAAAGCUAGGGGAGCGAAUGGG
rnacentral:rRNA from 1 species